rnacentral:rRNA from 1 species
ACAUGCAGNUCGAACGAUGACUAUCUAGCUUGCUAGAUAUGAUUAGUGGCGAACGGGUGAGUAAUGCUUAGGAAUCUGCCUAUUAGUGGGGGAUAACCAUCCGAAAGGAUGGCUAAUACCGCAUACGUCUUACGAGAGAAAGGGGGCUUUUAGCUCUCGCUAAUAGAUGAGCCUAAGUCGGAUUAGCUAGUUGGUGGGGUAAAGGCCUACCAAGGCGACGAUCUGUAGCUGGUCUGAGAGGAUGAUCAGCCACACUGGGACUGAGACACGGCCCAGACUCCUACGGGAGGCAGCAGUGGGGAAUAUUGGACAAUGGGCGAAAGCCUGAUCCAGCCAUGCCGCGUGUGUGAAGAAGGCCUUUUGGUUGUAAAGCACUUUAAGUGGGGAGGAAAAGCUUGUGGUUAAUACCCACAAGCCCUGACGUUACCUACAGAAUAAGCACCGGCUAACUCUGUGCCAGCAGCCGCGGUAAUACAGAGGGUCCAACAAGGAACCGAAAGAAAUGGGCGUAAGCGAGCGUAGGUGGUCAUUUAAGUCAGAUGUGAAAGCCCCGGGCUUAACCUGGGAACUGCAUCUGAUACUGGGUGACUAGAGUAGGUGAGAGGGAAGUAGAAUUCCAGGUGUAGCGGUGAAAUGCGUAGAGAUCUGGAGGAAUACCGAUGGCGAAGGCAGCUUCCUGGCAUCAUACUGACACUGAGGUUCGAAAGCGUGGGUAGCAAACAGGAUUAGAUACCCUGGUAGUCCACGCCGUAAACGAUGUCUACCAGUCGUUGGGUCUUUUAAAGACUUAGUGACGCAGUUAACGCAAUAAGUAGACCGCCUGGGGAGUACGGCCGCAAGGUUAAAACUCAAAUGAAUUGACGGGGGCCCGCACAAGCGGUGGAGCAUGUGGUUUAAUUCGAUGCAACGCGAAGAACCUUACCUGGUCUUGACAUAGUAGGAAUCCUGCAGAGAUGCGGGAGUGCCUUCGGGAAUCUACAUACAGGUGCUGCAUGGCUGUCGUCAGCUCGUGUCGUGAGAUGUUGGGUUAAGUCCCGCAACGAGCGCAACCCUUUUCCUUAGUUACCAGCGACUCGGUCGGGAACUCUAAGGAUACUGCCAGUGACAAACUGGAGGAAGGCGGGGACGACGUCAAGUCAUCAUGGCCCUUACGACCAGGGCUACACACGUGCUACAAUGGUUGGUACAAAGGGUUGCUACACAGCGAUGUGAUGCUAAUCUCAAAAAGCCAAUCGUAGUCCGGAUUAGAGUCUGCAACUCGACUCUAUGAAGUCGGAAUCGCUAGUAAUCGCAGAUCAGAAUGCUGCGGUGAAUACGUUCCCGGGCCCUGUACACACCGCCCGUCACACCAUGGGAGUUGAUCUCACCAGAAGUGGG